AGGGAAUAUUAGUAAUGGGCGAAAGCCUGAACUAGCAACACCGCGUGUGCGAAGAAGGCCUUCGGGUUGUAAAGCACUUUUCGGGAGGAUGAGGAAGGACGGUACUCCCGGAAUAAGUCUCGGCUAACUACGUGCCAGCAGCCGCGGUAAAACGUAGGAGGCAAACGUUAUCCGGAUUUACUGGGCGUAAAGCGCGUGUAGGUGGUUUGGUAAGUAGGGCGUGAAAGCUCCUGGCUCAACUGGGAGAGGUCGUUCUAAACUGCCGAGCUAGAGGAUGGUAGGGGGAGGUGGAAUUCCGGGUGUAGCGGUGGAAUGCGCAGAUAUCCGGAGGAACACCAGUGGCGAAAGCGGCCUCCUGGACCACUCCUGACACUCAGACGCGAAAGCUAGGGUAGCAAACGG
rnacentral:rRNA from 1 species